CCUACGGGGGGCUGCAGUGGGGAAUAUUGGACAAUGGGGGGAACCCUGAUCCAGCCAUGCCGCGUGGGUGAAGAAGGCCCUCGGGUUGUAAAGCACUUUCAGUGAGGAAGAACGCCUGGUGGUUAAUACCCAUCAGGAAAGACAUCACUCACAGAAGAAGCACCGGCUAACUCCGUGCCAGCAGCCGCGGUAAUACGGAGGGUGCGAGCGUUAAUCGGAAUUACUGGGCGUAAAGCGCGCGUAGGUGGCUUGAUAAGCCGGUUGUGAAAGCCCCGGGCUCAACCUGGGAACGGCAUCCGGAACUGUCAAGCUAGAGUGCAGGAGAGGAAGGUAGAAUUCCCGGUGUAGCGGUGAAAUGCGUAGAGAUCGGGAGGAAUACCAGUGGCGAAGGCGGCCUUCUGGACUGACACUGACACUGAGGUGCGAAAGCGUGGGUAGCAAACAGGAUUAGAUACCCCAGUAGUC
rnacentral:rRNA from 1 species